rnacentral:rRNA from 1 species
UAAGAGUAGGCAUCAGGCACACCCACCCUCAGUAGCCCAAGACGCCUCGCCCAGCCACACCCCCACGGGUACUCAGCAGUAAUUAACAUUAAGCAAUAGGCGUAAGCCUGACUUAGCCAAGGCAACCAGGGUUGGUAAAUCUUGUGCCAGCCACCGCGGUCACACAAGAAACCCAAAUUAACCGUACACGGCGUAAAGCGUGGCCAAAGAUUAUCACAACAAGCUAAGGCUAAACCCCUCCCUAAGCCGUCACAAGCCUAAGGCACCCUGAAACCCACCCUAAAAAAGACCUUAACAAUAAUGAUCCAUCCAACCCCACGAAAGCCGGGGCACAAACUGGGAUUAGAUACCCCACUAUGCCCAGCCCUAAAUCUCGAUGUUUCCCAAACACAAACAUCCGCCYGAGAACUACGAGCACAAACGCUUAAAACUCUAAGGACUUGGCGGUGCCCUAAACCCACCUAGAGGAGCCUGUUCUAUAAUCGAUAACCCACGAUCCACCCGACCACUUCUUGCCAAAACAGCCUAUAUACCGCCGUCGCCAGCCCACCUUUAAUGAGAGCACAAUAGUGAGCCCAACAGCUAACUACCGCUAACAAGACAGGUCAAGGUAUAGCCCAUGAAGUGGAAGAAAUGGGCUACAUUUUCUAAACUAGAAACCCCUAACGAAAAGAGAUCUGAAACCCACCUCUGGAAGGCGGAUUUAGCAGUAAAGCGGGAUAAUCAAGCCCCCUUUAAACUGGCCCUAGGGCACGUACACACCGCCCGUCACCCUCCUCACAAGCCCCUAAUACCCAAUAACUAAUACACACAAGGCCUAAAGACGAGGUAAGGUGUAACAGC